GGGCCGUGUCAAUGAAAGUAUCCUAGGAUAUGUCCUAAGAUAGGUCUUAGGACAUUAUUUAGGAUGGUCUUAGGACGUGUCUGAGACAUGUCUUAGAAUGUAAAACAAAGCUGUCUUAGGACAGUCAUAACUACGAUGGUCCUAGGACCAUCCUAACACAUUUAUUUAAUUGAAAAUAUAUGUAGAGAUUUGUAUGACAUAGAUUGAAUUGUAUUU
rnacentral:lncRNA from 1 species